ACGUACACUCCUACGGGAGGCAGCAGUGGGGAAUAUUGGACAAUGGGCGCAAGCCUGAUCCAGCCAUGCCGCGUGAGUGAUGAAGGCCCUAGGGUUGUAAAGCUCUUUCACCGGUGAAGAUAAUGACGGUAACCGGAGAAGAAGCCCCGGCUAACUUCGUGCCAGCAGCCGCGGUAAUACGAAGGGGGCUAGCGUUGUUCGGAUUUACUGGGCGUAAAGCGCACGUAGGCGGACUAUUAAGUCAGGGGUGAAAUCCCGGGGCUCAACCCCGGAACUGCCUUUGAUACUGGUAGUCUUGAGUUCGAGAUAGGUGAGUGGAAUUCCGAGUGUAGAGGUGAAAUUCGUAGAUAUUCGGAGGAACACCAGUGGCGAAGGCGGCUCACUGGCUCGAUACUGACGCUGAGGUGCGAAAGCGUGGGGAGCAAACAGGAUUAGAAACCCGGGUAGUCCC
rnacentral:rRNA from 1 species